UUUCUCCCAGCACACAGAAUCCCAAUUGCAUAAGUAUCUUGAAAAUAGGACAAACACAGAUGAGAAAUCCUCCAUUAUAAAGGUUGCCUCUUGUACGUUCAAAUGCCAGACAAAAAGACAACAGGAGUGAAACCCCUUCACAAAGGACAUUUUUUUCCCCUGAAGUAAGAGUGUCCAUGUGGGAAAACCAGCUUUAGAUUCCACCUUUGCUGAAGAAGAACUUUCUUUGUGCAGGAGUGUCACAGCUGCAGAAGUUUUGUGCUGGUUGGGUGGACAGAAGAUUUUUCAGAUCCUGUUCUUCUAGAAGCAUUACAUGGACAGUGUUACAGAGGUUCAGAGGUCCAACUCAUCAUUUUUUAGCUAUGGUCCAGAAGACUGGAUGGCUUUUCCAGGUUUAUUGACAGUGUGAAGAGGAUCAGAUCUGAAUGCUUCUAGUAGUGAUAUAUGUACUAUGAAGAAUGAUGCAGAAAUGCAACAUAAUAUCCACAAAAAACCCCCUCCUUUUGUGUAAGUGAUGAAACACACGGGCAAAAAAUGAAUGAGUGAUGGUUUAGAAGGUCAUUCCCUGUUCAUCUCUAUCAUAAGUAUUCUGUUCCAUGCCUGAAGUACAGUCAAUAAACCUAUUUAAAAUUACUGAUAA